AGACCCGAAACCCGGUGAUCUAGCCAUGGGCAGGUUGAAGGUUGGGUAACACUAACUGGAGGACCGAACCGACUAAUGUUGAAAAAUUAGCGGAUGACUUGUGGCUGGGGGUGAAAGGCCAAUCAAACCGGGAGAUAGCUGGUUCUCCCCGAAAGCUAUUUAGGUAGCGCCUCGUGAAUUCAUCUCCGGGGGUAGAGCACUGUUUCGGCAAGGGGGUCAUCCCGACUUACCAACCCGAUGCAAACUGCGAAUACCGGAGAAUGUUAUCACGGGAGACACACGGCGGGUGCUAACGUCCGUCGUGAAGAGGGAAACAACCCAGACCGCCAGCUAAGGUCCCAAAGUCAUGGUUAAGUGGGAAACGAUGUGGGAAGGCCCAGACAGCCAGGAUGUUGGCUUAGAAGCAGCCAUCAUUUAAAGAAAGCGUAAUAGCUCACUGGUCGAGUCGGCCUGCGCGGAAGAUGUAACGGGGCUAAACCAUGCACCGAAGCUGCGGCAGCGACACUGUGUGUUGUUGGGUAGGGGAGCGUUCUGUAAGCCUGUGAAGGUGUGCUGUGAGGCAUGCUGGAGGUAUCAGAAGUGCGAAUGCUGACAUAAGUAACGAUAAAGCGGGUGAAAAGCCCGCUCGCCGGAAGACCAAGGGUUCCUGUCCAACGUUAAUCGGGGCAGGGUGAGUCGACCCCUAAGGCGAGGCCGAAAGGCGUAGUCGAUGGGAAACAGGUUAAUAUUCCUGUACUUGGUGUUACUGCGAAGGGGGGACGGAGAAGGCUAUGUUGGCCGGGCGACGGUUGUCCCGGUUUAAGCGUGUAGGCUGGUUUUCCAGGCAAAUCCGGAAAAUCAAGGCUGAGGCGUGAUGACGAGGCACUACGGUGCUGAAGCAACAAAUGCCCUGCUUCCAGGAAAAGCCUCUAAGCAUCAGGUAACAUCAAAUCGUACCCCAAACCGACACAGGUGGUCAGGUAGAGAAUACCAAGGCGCUUGAGAGAACUCGGGUGAAGGAACUAGGCAAAAUGGUGCCGUAACUUCGGGAGAAGGCACGCUGAUAUGUAGGUGAAGUCCCUCGCGGAUGGAGCUGAAAUCAGUCGAAGAUACCAGCUGGCUGCAACUGUUUAUUAAAAACACAGCACUGUGCAAACACGAAAGUGGACGUAUACGGUGUGACGCCUGCCCGGUGCCGGAAGGUUAAUUGAUGGGGUCAGCGCAAGCGAAGCUCUUGAUCGAAGCCCCGGUAAACGGCGGCCGUAACUAUAACGGUCCUAAGGUAGCGAAAUUCCUUGUCGGGUAAGUUCCGACCUGCACGAAUGGCGUAAUGAUGGCCAGGCUGUCUCCACCCGAGACUCAGUGAAAUUGAACUCGCUGUGAAGAUGCAGUGUACCCGCGGCAAGACGGAAAGACCCCGUGAACCUUUACUAUAGCUUGACACUGAACAUUGAGCCUUGAUGUGUAGGAUAGGUGGGAGGCUUUGAAGUGUGGACGCCAGUCUGCAUGGAGCCGACCUUGAAAUACCACCCUUUAAUGUUUGAUGUUCUAACGUGGACCCGUGAUCCGGGUUGCGGACAGUGUCUGGUGGGUAGUUUGACUGGGGCGGUCUCCUCCUAAAGAGUAACGGAGGAGCACGAAGGUUGGCUAAUCCUGGUCGGACAUCAGGAGGUUAGUGCAAUGGCAUAAGCCAGCUUGACUGCGAGCGUGACGGCGCGAGCAGGUGCGAAAGCAGGUCAUAGUGAUCCGGUGGUUCUGAAUGGAAGGGCCAUCGCUCAACGGAUAAAAGGUACUCCGGGGAUAACAGGCUGAUACCGCCCAAGAGUUCAUAUCGACGGCGGUGUUUGGCACCUCGAUGUCGGCUCAUCACAUCCUGGGGCUGAAGUAGGUCCCAAGGGUAUGGCUGUUCGCCAUUUAAAGUGGUACGCGAGCUGGGUUUAGAACGUCGUGAGACAGUUCGGUCCCUAUCUGCCGUGGGCGCUGGAGAACUGAGGGGGGCUGCUCCUAGUACGAGAGGACCGGAGUGGACGCAUCACUGGUGUUCGGGUUGUCAUGCCAAUGGCACUGCCCGGUAGCUAAAUGCGGAAGAGAUAAGUGCUGAAAGCAUCUAAGCACGAAACUUGCCCCGAGAUGAGUUCUCCCUGACCCUUUAAGGGUCCUGAAGGAACGUUGAAGACGACGACGUUGAUAGGC
rnacentral:rRNA from 1 species